GACGAACGCUGGCGGCGUGCUUAACACAUGCAAGUCGAACGGAGUGGCGAACGGGUGAGUAACACGUGGGUGACCUGCCCUGCACUUCGGGAUAAGCCCGGGAAACUGGGUUUACUACCGGCGAGUGUGGGAUGGGCCCGCGGCCUAUCAACUUGUUGGUGGGGUAAUGGCCUACCAAGGCGGCGACGGGUCGCCGGCCUGAGAGGGUGGACGGCCACAAUGGGACUGAGGCACGGCGCAGACUGCUACGUGAGGCAGCGGUGGGGAGUAUUGCACAGUGGGCGGAAGCCUGUUGCAGCGACGCCGGGUGGGGAAUGACGGCCUUCGGAUUGUAAACUCCUUUCACCAUCGACGCGGUAGAUGGAGAAGAAGCGCCGGCUAACUACGUGCCAGCAGCCGCGGUAAUAC
rnacentral:rRNA from 1 species